GACGAACGCUGGCGGCGUGCUUAACACAUGCAAGUCGAACGGAAAGUCCCUGCUUUUGUGGGGUGCUCGAGUGGCGAACGGGGGAGUAACACGUGAGUAACCUGCCCCUGACUUUGGGAUAACUUCAGGAAACUGGGGCUAAUACCGGAUAGGAGCUUCUGCUGCAUGUUGGGGGUUGGAAAGUUUCGGCGGUUGUGGAUGGACUCGCGGCUUAUCAGCUUGUUGGUGGGGUUGUGGCUUACCAGGGCUUUGACGGGUAGCCGGCCUGAGAGGGCGAGCGGACACACUGGGACUGAGAUACGGCCCAGACUCCUACGGGAGGCAGCAGUGGGGAAUAUUGCACAAUGGGCGGAAGCCUGAUGCAGCAAAGCCGCGUGCGGGAUGACGGCCUUCGGGUUGUAAACCGCUUUCGCCUGUGACGAAGCGUGAGUGACGGUACUGGGUAAAGAAGCACCGGCUAACUACGUG
rnacentral:rRNA from 1 species